rnacentral:tRNA from 7 species
GGGGGUGUAGCUCAGUUGGUUAGAGCGCCUGCCUGUCACGCAGGAGGUCGCGGGUUCGAGUCCCGUCACUCCCGCCA